rnacentral:rRNA from 1 species
UAACUUUCAACAACGGAUCUCUUGGCUCUCACAUCGAUGAAGAACGCAGCGAAAUGCGAUAAGUAAUGUGAAUUGCAAAAUACAGUGAAUCAUCGAAUCUUUGAACGCAGAUUGCGCCCUUUGGUAUUCCGAAGGGCAUGCCUGUUUGAGUGUCUU